rnacentral:rRNA from 1 species
UACGGAGGAUGCGAGCGUUAUCCGGAUUUAUUGGGUUUGAAGGGUGCGUAGGCGGAUUGUCAAGUCAGCGGUAAAAUUGAGAGGCUCAACCUCUUCCCGCCGUUGAAACUGGUGGUCUUGAGUGGAUGAGAAGUACGCGGAAUGCGUGGUGUAGCGGUGAAAUGCAUAGAUAUCACGCAGAACUCCGAUUGCGAAGGCAGCGUACCGGCAUCCAACUGACGCUGAGGCGCGAAAGCGUGGGGAUCAAACAGG